ACGUAAUAAACACAGAGGGAAAACGACGAGGAAGUCAGUCAGGUGCGGAUCACUGUUUGAGAGGAGCAAAUUGUCCCUAUUCAGCUGGAUGAAAUACAUUUAUAGAUUUUCCCAGGGGCUGCAGUUAAGGCAAAUUGAUAUGCUUCAGGAUGGUGUGGCAGGAAGCAGUCGGACGCUGUCAAAGAUGAGCUACAAAUUGAGAAAAGUAUGCCAGAGGGCAAUCAAGAGGAGAGAAAGAAGGGGAAAGCAGAGAAUUGGAAGAGGGAAUGAAUUUGUGAUGCUGGACGAAAGCAACUUCUACCACAAAAGGAAGUAUGGAAGGGGGAGAUUUGGAGCUACCUGGAGGAGGAGAAAAUGGGUCUUCGGAAUGCUGGGAAUCAAAGGAAGAAGGAGAAGACCCAUCCUCAGGCUGGUGACGAAAAGGUCAAGGCGCUACUUAAUUCCGCUGGUCACAAAAUACGUCCGUCAAGGGACCACAGUUCUCACGGACAGGUGGCGGGUCUACAUGACUGCACUGGCACAGAGUGGCUAUGUACA